rnacentral:rRNA from 1 species
CACGCAGGCGGUUUGGCAAGUCGGAUGUGAAAACCCGAAGCUCAACUUCGGGCCUGCAUCCGAAACUGCCCGACUAGGGGUAGGUAGGGGAGAUCGGAAUUCCUGGUGUAGCGGUGAAAUGCGCAGAUAUCAGGAGGAACACCGGUGGCGAAGGCGGGACUCUGGGCCGAUACUGACGCUGAGGAGCGAAAGCGUGGGGAGCGAACA